rnacentral:lncRNA from 1 species
UCUCUCCCCCACUUCUGAUAACAGACCUGCCGUACCAUGGGAAGAUGGCCAAAAAUGGCCGCCCACGGUACUUGUUCCUCGGCUACAGUAAUUGGUCCAUGUGUAGGCAUGUGACCCAUCAUGACCAAUCAUAGCAGCCCACUUCUGAGCGGGGGCACAGCAAUUGUUCCAGGUGUAGUCAUGUGACUCAAGCAGGGCGAAUUCAGGAUUGUCUGCAGAGCUUGUGGGGAGGAUGUUUCUUUCUCUCCCUCCUCCUCUCUGGCAUCCAGGCCUUAAAGAGGUAGACUUGGCACUACCAGUGGCCUCAGACAAUAAGGCCAAUAAGCAGAGAGGAGGAGAAAUGAAACAUGAGGGAAGGCAUCGAGCUUGAGGAAGAGGCCCCAUUCAUCUCCGUACCCCAGGCCCUGGUACACAGCAGGCAGAUAAACCUGCCAGUAAUUUCAGCAAAUGAAACGUGGAACACGUCAAGGCCAGAGGAUGGAAAAGGCUCCAGUUUUGAUAAAAGGAGGCCUGCUUGGCUUGGAAUCCUCUCUCCUGCUGGUUGGGAGAUGCAAAGAUGUUUCCAGAGAGGGGCUGAUGAAUUGAGGGGAAAGAAAUGAGCCCAGUAUGAGUCCCCUUUCAGGGCUGAGCGUGUAUAAAACCAAACAACUUGGAACCGCUCCAAGAGAGGGGAUUAAAGCAACAUGUUAUUCUGAGUGAUUGCUUAAUUUAUUGAGCUGCGGCUGGAUCUGUAAUGAAAUACAGCCCUUGUAACUGAUAACCUCCUGCUGCCAUUGAACUUCUACAAUUAAGGAAUAUUUUCUGAGUUUCUCUGGAACGGCUCUGAAUUUUUAGCCUCUGUGGUAGGGUGCUUCUGAACAUUUGUUUUCCAGGCAAUUUUUUUUGAGUAUUAGGCUGAUGUUAAUAAAUAAGCAGCAUUUUAUUGA